rnacentral:sRNA from 10 species
CAACGAAAUCCACCCUUUCGGGUGGGUGAAAUACUGCUUCGCGGUGUGAUAUACGCCUGCGGUGUGUGAAAUCGCUG